rnacentral:piRNA from 1 species
UAGGGCAAGCCUCUAGCAUCCAGUCU